rnacentral:rRNA from 1 species
UAGGGAAUCUUCGGCAAUGGGGGGAACCCUGACCGAGCAACGCCGCGUGAGUGAAGAAGGUUUUCGGAUCGUAAAGCUCUGUUGUUAAGGAAGAACGAGUGUGAGAAUGGAAAGUUCAUACUGUGACGGUACUUAACCAGAAAGGGACGGCUAACUACGUGCCAGCAGCCGCGGUAAUACGUAGGUCCCGAGCGUUGUCCGGAUUUAUUGGGCGUAAAGCGAGCGCAGGCGGUUAGAUAAGUCUGAAGUUAAAGGCAGUGGCUCAACCAUUGUAGGCUUUGGAAACUGUUUAACUUGAUUGCAGAAGGGGAGAGUGGAAUUCCAUGUGUAGCGGUGAAAUGCGUAGAUAUAUGGAGGAACACCGGUGGCGAAAGCGGCUCUCUGGUCUGUAACUGACGCUGAGGCUCGAAAGCGUGGGGAGCGAACAGG